UAAUAUUAGGUGUGUAAACGGGACGAUUCUGGGACCAUCAUAACAAUUUGGCGGUAAGCCAUCGUCACCCAAAUGCUGUCUGAUCUAGAUCUUCGUUUAGACACGGCUCCUAUCCUUGAAGCUAAGGAAUAUCGUCGUAUCAUUGGAUCGGCGCAGUAUCUUACGAUGACGAGGCCGAAUAUCCAAUUUAUAGUUAACAAAUUAUUACAAUUUAUGGCGUCCUUAGAUCUUAGGUAUCUUUUCAGGUCUCGAACGUUGAGAAGUAUUCUGAGAAAAACAGUGGAUUUUGGGACACCACCGACCGAAAGGUGUCUCUGAAAAUAUAUGUCAUCCUCAUUGUUCAACACAUAUCGGGGCAGAUAUUCUUACGAAAGUCAAUUUUAGAACUAAAAGGCAAACUUGCUGGAAUCUUUCCUCAAGUUUGAGAGAGACGUGAUGGAAAGGUUCGUUGAAGUCAGUACCGAUGCAGGCCCAUCCCGUUCUUACCUCUACAACAACAUUUAGAAACUUUUCACUCAUUUUAUUUUGCAAAUAUGUAUUUAGAGGACUGGG
rnacentral:lncRNA from 1 species